rnacentral:ncRNA from 1 species
ACCGGGAGAGACCGCAUCCGCGGCGCCGAAGGGGCCAAACUCUCAGGCAAAAGGACCGGUU